AGUGAACGCUGGCGGUAGGCCUAACACAUGCAAGUCGAACGGCAGCACAGUAAGAGCUUGCUCUUACGGGUGGCGAGUGGCGGACGGGUGAGGAAUACAUCGGAAUCUACUUUUUCGUGGGGGAUAACGUAGGGAAACUUACGCUAAUACCGCAUACGACCUACGGGUGAAAGCAGGGGAUCUUCGGACCUUGCGCGAUUGAAUGAGCCGAUGUCGGAUUAGCUAGUUGGCGGGGUAAAGGCCCACCAAGGCGACGAUCCGUAGCUGGUCUGAGAGGAUGACAGCCCACACUGGAACUGAGCCACGGCCCAGCCCCCCACGGGGGGCGGCAGGGGGGAAUGUGGGACAGAGGCGGCAAGCGUACCCCCCCAGUCCCGGGUGGGAGAAGAAGCCUUGGGGUUUCUAAGCCCUUUUUGUGGGGAAAAAAAAGCAGCAGUUUAACACCCCGUUGUCGGGACGGCCCCAAAAGAAAAGCCCCCGGCUACCUUCGUC
rnacentral:rRNA from 1 species